CCACCUGGGGCCGCCGGCGGCAGGAAGAGAAGCGGAGCUGGAGCCGGCUGAUCCCAUUUGCUGCGGCGCCUACAGGGAUAUGAAGCUCCAAUCGACUGUUCAGGUGGCCACGAGGAAAACAUUGACCUUGACAAAAUCGAAGGCACUUGGACAACUUGUUAUGAAACAAGUAAAGUUGGAAAACUGAUCAGCGUGGUGGGGCUUUUAAACAGCCAAAGCAAAAAAAUAAAUAAAAAAAAAAAAAAAAAAAAAACAA